UGCGGGGACCCGGGGCCGCGGGGGGGCCUGUCAGCCGAUGCGCGCUGAUCCUACUGUCCGGGGAAAGCAAAACGGGGGUGCAGCUUGGGCGGAAAAGAAAACCGCUCGGUGGGCAGGGGCUGACCUCCCGAGUGCGGAGUGGGUCUCUAACACCCGGUGGGCGCUACACGUGUGCUUAGGGCAGCCCCGCCCG
rfam:Canis lupus familiaris chromosome 22, whole genome shotgun sequence.